rnacentral:rRNA from 1 species
GACGAACGCUGGCGGCGUGCUUAACACAUGCAAGUCGAACGGAAAGGCCCUGCUUUUGUGGGGUGCUCGAGUGGCGAACGGGUGAGUAACACGUGAGUAACCUGCCCUUGACUUUGGGAUAACUUCAGGAAACUGGGGCUAAUACCGGAUAGGAGCUCCUGCUGCAUGGUGGGGGUUGGAAAGCUUCGGCGGUUGGGGAUGGACUCGCGGCUUAUCAGCUUGUUGGUGGGGUAGUGGCUUACCAAGGCUUUGACGGGUAGCCGGCCUGAGAGGGUGACCGGCCACAUUGGGACUGAGAUACGGCCCAGACUCCUACGGGAGGCAGCAGUGGGGAAUAUUGCACAAUGGGCGGAAGCCUGAUGCAGCAACGCCGCGUGCGGGAUGACGGCCUUCGGGUUGUAAACCGCUUUCGCCUGUGACGAAGCGUGAGUGACGGUAAUGGGUAAAGAAGCACCGGCUAACUACGUGCCAGCAGCCGCGGUGAUACGUAGGGUGCGAGCGUUGUCCGGAUUUAUUGGGCGUAAAGGGCUCGUAGGUGGUUGAUCGCGUCGGAAGUGUAAUCUUGGGGCUUAACCCUGAGCGUGCUUUCGAUACGGGUUGACUUGAGGAAGGUAGGGGAGAAUGGAAUUCCUGGUGGAGCGGUGGAAUGCGCAGAUAUCAGGAGGAACACCAGUGGCGAAGGCGGUUCUCUGGGCCUUUCCUGACGCUGAGGAGCAAAAGCGUGGGGAGCGAACAGGCUUAGAUACCCUGGUAGUCCACGCUGUAAACGGUGGGUACUAGGUGUGGGGUCCAUUCCACGGGUUCCGUGCCGUAGCUAACGCUUUAAGUACCCCGCCUGGGGAGUACGGCCGCAAGGCUAAAACUCAAAGGAAUUGACGGGGCCCCGCACAAGCGGCGGAGCAUGCGGAUUAAUUCGAUGCAACGCGUAGAACCUUACCUGGGUUUGACAUGGAUCGGGAGUGCUCAGAGAUGGGUGUGCCUCUUUUGGGGUCGGUUCACAGGUGGUGCAUGGCUGUCGUCAGCUCGUGUCGUGAGAUGUUGGGUUAAGUCCCGCAACGAGCGCAACCCUUGUUCACUGUUGCCAGCACGUUAUGGUGGGGACUCAGUGGAGACCGCCGGGGUCAACUCGGAGGAAGGUGGGGAUGACGUCAAGUCAUCAUGCCCCUUAUGUCCAGGGCUUCACGCAUGCUACAAUGGCUGGUACAGAGAGUGGCGAGCCUGUGAGGGUGAGCGAAUCUCGGAAAGCCGGUCUCAGUUCGGAUUGGGGUCUGCAACUCGACCUCAUGAAGUCGGAGUCGCUAGUAAUCGCAGAUCAGCAACGCUGCGGUGAAUACGUUCCCGGGGCU